rnacentral:rRNA from 1 species
AGUGAACGCUGGCGGUAUGCCUAACACAUGCAAGUCGAACGGCAGCACAGUAAGAGCUUGCUCUUACGGGUGGCGAGUGGCGGACGGGUGAGGAAUACAUCGGAAUCUACUUUUUCGUGGGGGAUAACGUAGGGAAACUUACGCUAAUACCGCAUACGACCUACGGGUGAAAGCAGUGGAUCUUCGGACCUUGCGCGAUUGAAUUAGCCGAUGUCGGAUUAGCUAGUUGGCAGGGUAAAGGCCCACCAAGGCGACGAUCCGUAGCUGGUCUGAGAGGAUGAUCGGCCACACUGGAACUGAGACACGGUCCAGACUCCUACGGGAGGCAGCAGUGGGGAAUAUUGGACAAUGGGCGAAAGCCUGAUCCAGCAAUACCGCGUGGGUGAAGAAGGCCUUCGGGUUGUAAAGCCCUUUUGUUGGGAAAGAAAAGCAGCAGGUUAAUACCCCGCUGUUCUGACGGUACCCAAAGAAUAAGCACCGGCUAACUUCGUG